UAAAGGGGUUCAAUCAAUUCUA
rnacentral:siRNA from 1 species